AAAAAAGAAGAAAAAAUGAGCAAAACUGGCGAGCCAAAACGCUUCUUGUUUGCUUCAAGUCUCAUUUUAUUGAGCACUCAAGAGCUCACAUUUCGUGUACAAUUUUUUU
ensembl:ncRNA Y54G2A.61 ncRNA